AGAUGCCUACUGGACCCACUGAAGCACAGUCACCAGAGCAGGACCACAGCCUGAGUGACAUGGACAAGACCUAAUGCUCCCAAGACCAUGAGAUCCAGUACCCAGCUGUGAAAUGGAGGCAGCAGCUUUGGAGUGGGGAUGUCAGGACUCCUGGCUCCCACCGCCCAGGGCUCAGAAUUGGGCGAAGCCUGGACACCUGAGGGUCAGUUCAAAGACCGGCAGGAAAAGCUAGAAAGCUUUGCGAAGCCAGAGGCCCAACAGCAGGACCCUACCUGGGAGCGUGGUGACCUCGGUGGAGUCCUGGGAACCAGUCCUACGGUUACCCAGGUCACCCAUGGGUCCCGGGGGCGCGGCAUCCCAGGAAAGAGCCUAAAACAGAAGGAUGCAGAGGCUGGGGGCCCCGGGAAGCCGUGGAAGUGCGAGGACUGUGGCGAGGCCUUCAGUUACUGCUCGGCUCUGCACUGGAGGGCGCACACCGGGGAGAAGCCGUUUGCUGCCCCGAGUGCGGCCGGGCCUUCAGCCGGCGCGUGCACACGGGCGAGCGGUCGCACGCCCGCACCUAGUGCGGCAUAGCCUUCAGCCAGAGCACCUACAUGGCGGCACACUGGCGAGCGGCUGCACGCGUGUUCCAACUGCGCCAAGCCCUUUGCGCGCCCUGCGCACCUGGCACAGCACCAGCGCGUGCACACGGGUGAGCGGCCUUUCGCCCGUGGCCAGUGCGCCAAGCCUUUCCGCGGCCUCGCGGCCCUGUUGGAGCACCAGCGCGUGCACAUCGGCUAGCGGCCCUUAUGCGCGCAGUGCCCCAAAGCCUUCCCUUUCUCCUGGGCGCUGCUGCGCCACUGGCGCACGCACACGGCGGAGCGGCCCUACGCCUGCCGCCAGUGCGCCAAGGCCUUCACAAAGGGGCGCAACCUGGCUCAGCACCGGCGCGUGCACACCGGCGAGAAGCCCUACAUGUGCGCUGAGUGCGGUGCGCCCUUCAGCCAGAGAGCUUCGCUGGCCGAGCACCAGCGCAUCCACACUGGCGAGAAGCCAUUCACACGCACACAGUGUGGCAAGGCCUUCACGCAGGUGUCGCACCUGAGCCAGCACCGGCGCGUGCACACGGGCCAGCGGCCCUGAGCAUGCGCCGACUGCGGCCGCGCCUUCAACAACCGCUCGCGUCUGGCGCAGCACCACCUGGUGCACGCAGGCGCCAGGCCCUACAAGUGCCUGGAGUGCGGCGCCGCCUUCCGCCGCGUGUCCUCCCUCCUCGAGCACCUACUCUUUGAAGAGGUCUGUGGAUCUUCCCUGAAGAUCCACACCGGCGAGAAGCCCUUCCGGUGCGGGGACUGCGGCAAGUCCUUCAGCUUCUCUGCCCUCAUUCGGCAUCAGAAGAUGCAACAAGACGCCCCAUGAGCGCGGUCCGUGCGGGAACACCUCUGCGCGGUUGCCACACCUCACCCGACCCCUGAGUUCGCACGGAGAGGAGAAACCUGUUAGUAGUCGUGGCCCUGCAGAAACCUCCGGGGACCAGCAACGUAAGAGCUGACGAUCACCGGGCCUCCCGUACCAGGCACUGUGCUGAGCGCUUUCACGUUUGUCUCCAGCCUCACGGCACUGGAGGGCAUACCCUUUCAUCUCCCUGCUGCUCAAAAAGAAACUAGGGUUCAGAGAAAGUCACAGACUUGCCCAAGGUCACACAGGGAAGAUGUCACAGGGCCAGGACUGCACUCCACAUCUGCUGGACUCCCCGCCACCUCCCUGAUCCAAAAUUAUAAAUGUGACCUACCAAAGUAGACCCAAAGAAGUAUCUGUGAGUCUCAGGCUGGCCUUGUAAUAGUUGAUUUCAUGAUUGAGCAGGCAUUUGUUCAAUAAAUUAAAUUGGAUAAAA